UACGUAGGGGCAAGCGUUUGUCCGGAUUUAUUGGGCGUAAAGAGCGUGUAGGCGGCCAAACAGGUCCACUGUGAAACUCGAGGCUCAACCUCGAGAGGUCGGUGGAAACCGUCUGGCUAGAGUCCGGAAGAGGAGAGUGGAAUUCCCGGUGUAGCGGUGAAAUGCGCAGAUAUCGGGAAGAACACCCGUGGCGAAGGCGGCUCUCUGGGACGGUACUGACGCUGAGACGCGAAAGCGUGGGAGCGAACAG
rnacentral:rRNA from 1 species